GGGGCGGGGGGGGGGGGGGGGGACAGGCCAGGCGGGCGGCGCGGUGGUGCUGCGAGGGGAGGGAAGGCCUCUUCCGCCGGCGGCUGGCUCAGGUGAGAGGGGGGAUCCCGGUGGGCGUCGGGGUCGCGCUCCGGCUCGCUCCUAUUGUCACUCUCAGCGGGCUCCGGCCAUGGCACUCACUCACACACACUCACUCACUCACUCACAACCGAGAGUGCUGCCACCCCCCCCGGCCCGCGGCCCGCCCCCCGCGCCCGCCCACUGGAGCCUGCCGCCGGGACGCGCCGCCUCAUUGGCGCCCGCCGCCGCCGCCGGGACAGCCGGGAAAGCGGAGCGCUGCCGGAGGAGGAGGAGGAAGAGGAGGAGGAGGAGGAGGCGGUGCCGGCCGGGGCUGCGGCGGCCGGCGGCUCGUCGUCGGCAUCGCGCUUCUCGUCCCUCUGCGGGCCGGACGAGCGCCGGCCGCCGCCAGAGCGAAGCCCGUCGGCUGAGGUGUAUUUAUGUGCGUAGCGGCCAACACAACGAGUGCUUGUAGAUGGUAUUGUUAAAUAUCAUAAAUUUUGUUUAAAUUUAUUUACCUGAUGGCUCGGUGUUUGGUGGGGUUUUGGCGGUUGGGUUUGGUUUUUUUUCCCCCCAAAAUACAACUAAUGGUGUUAAUAUGACUAUUAUGUUUGAAAAUACUAUCCACCGUUUCCCCUGUAUUUCUGGCAGGAAAAAAAAAAUUGAGUCACAUGAGCAGCAGUCCUCCUGUGUUGAUAUGACCAAAACCCUCUGAGCUUACCCUCCAGGUAUGCGAGUACCAGUGUUGGCAUAACGGAGGAGGUGGGACUGUGGCAGACUCGAUUUAGAGUGAUACAAGCUGUUGUGAAACUACUUUCAAAAUUGCUAAUUUUCAGCCAGCACCCAAGACUGGACACAGUACUACAAUUAAGGCCUCAACAACGCCAGCAUCUGCUGUCAUGCCUGUCACAGACUACAUUCCUGUUUACACAUGCCAAUACAAAUACUUUUGAGUCAGUAUGAUCUAUUCACAAUUUUGCUGACCUGUUUUGCCCCUGCAUCUGUUUCUGCUGACCCACCAAGCUGGUUAUUUCUCCCUCAAGUAGACAGUAAUGCUACUUAAGAAAUUAUUUACCGCAGCAGCCCUAAUGCUAUCACUUCAUUUUUAUUGCUGGAUAGGUGGACAAUCAAGCAGUCAAGACAUCUUUUAAAAUAAAAUUUCACAUGGUUUUAAGUCAGAAAA